GACCCUGGCUCAGGAUGAACGCUAGCUACAGGCUUAACACAUGCAAGUCGAGGGGAAACGACAUCGAAAGCUUGCUUUUGAUGGGCGUCGACCGGCGCACGGGUGAGUAACGCGUAUCCAACCUGCCUACCACUUGGGGAUAACCUUGCGAAAGUAAGACUAAUACCCAAUGACAUCCCACGAAGACAUCUGAAUGGGAUUAAAGAUUUAUCGGUGAUGGAUGGGGAUGCGUCUGAUUAG
rnacentral:rRNA from 1 species